GUGAUACCCAGGCCUCCAAGACCUGUACUCAAACCUAAAGCUGAGCCACAGGUGCUCCCCUAGCACAGAUGCUCACCACAGGAGUAUGGGGAACUUACCAGAAGGUUCAUCCAUGAUAAAAGAGAAACCUGAAGGAAAUUCAUUUGCUUCAACAUACAACACAAAAAGUACCCACAGCUUGACAAUAGGACAGAAAAAAAAAAAAUUGUCUGGUUCUUUCUUGGACGAGAGGAUUGUACACACCAGGGUUUUUAGAAGUGAAAAUUGACUUUCUCCAGCUGCAGAGUUUCAUUCAACAUUAGAGGGGGCCAGGAGUUGGUAAAGUCUAACAGAAGGUGGACCAAAACUGAAAAGAAAAACCAGAAAAAGUGAUCACAGAAUUCACAUAUAAUUGCGAUCUCUCAGCAUAAGGGUAAGUUAUAGCCAACUGACAAUAAACCUUGACUUUCAGCUACCAAAUCCCAAUAUGAAACCAGCUCCUUACCUGGAGAUGGACCCAAGCUGAAGACUGCUGUCUGCCAUCAUGGAAGCAGAAACUACCAGAAAAGGAGUUUUACAGCAGAAUAAACCUCAGAUCCCAAUUGAAAAUUUGGGGGAGAUCAGGGAUCUCUGGAGGGAGAAGUUCCCAGAACUUACAUAGCAAAUCAUCCAAUCUGUAAGAGUAAUAAAGAGUUCCAGCUGGUACCAGGGCCCCAAUAGGAGACUUGCUGGAGGCCAACAGCCAGACUCCACUCGGAGUUCCUUUGUGGUCACCAACAUGUAAACCAAAAAGUGACUGAGGCAGAUCUCUAUUGAUUAGAGGUUUAUUUUGCCAGUCGAGGAUAUGCCUGGGAAAUAGAAACAUAAGUCACCGUAGUAUCCUUGACCUGUGUUUUUCCAAAGAGGGUUUUGGAAACUUAACUAUUUAAGGGGUAAGAGCAAGCAGGAGGGAAAGGGGAAAAAAGGAGGGACAGUAGGCAAUGAGACAAGUGGUUACAUUCUUAUAAGGCUUUGAUUAACACUCAAUGAAUCCACAUUUUGUGUGUGAAAAGAAGAGAGUAGAGGAAAAAAUCAAUUAUGCAUUCAUCUCAUCCUCAGUAAAUCUACAUUUUACAUAAGAUAGAGUAAGCAUGUGAGAUUAGAGUUACCUGUUUGGGAACAGAAGGAAGGCAGUGUUUUGUGUGACUCCGUUUCCAACCUUAAUUUUCCCCUUGGCAUAAUAACUUUGUGGUUUUGAGAUUUUAUUUUUCUUUCCAGAUUGAGAUUCCCAUGACCCCCCAUUUGAGUUCAAUUAAUAAUUAAUUUGCUAGAACAUCUCAUAGAA